GAUCAUACCUGGGGCCUGAUGGCAGCUGAGGGGCAUGGUGUAUCCCCUAGGAAUGGGCUUCUGUCUAAAGAGUGUCGUGAAAAGCUAAAGGAAGGCACAACUGGCUGAGGAAGAUGGUAAAUGCCAUGGAGGUAAAGAAGUGUGGGAAUCAAGUGAAAUGGACAUAACUUAAGCCCUACUCGGAGGUUCUUGGCACCACUUGAGAGCCCGGAGAUGAUGAGGAUUGACUGCUGAUGCCGCCACCCAGGGGACCGGGAAAGAUGAGUUGGAGCCACUCUGCGGGACCCAGUGAGAAAGGGCCUUGGAUACCACACCAGGAUGUUGUAACUUGUAGUAGCUCACUGAAUACCCUGGAAGAAUGUUCAGUAACAAAACUUCUACGAAGUUUCCUUGGAACAACAUGGGUGCACCUUUUCAUGGGGUGGCCCUGAGUAUCACACAACCUGGCAAACACUGCUGUGCAACCGGAUAGCAGGAAUGGGCAUGCCCAGCACAGGAGAAUGAAAGGAAACAAGAGUUGCGGCCCCACCGAGCACGAGGAGGAGAGGUAUGAGACAAGGUGCGGCCAGGCCAGGCCAAGUCUGUCUUCGGAGCCUGAAGAAUUUGAC
ensembl:lncRNA